rnacentral:lncRNA from 1 species
AUAGAAUUUAAGAUUACCUUGAAAAUUCAGUGCAUAGUAUUUUGCCUUCAUCUGUUGUUUGAGUCUCCCUUCUUUUAGCCAUCCUUCCAUCAGAAAUAGAAUACCAAGUUAAACUUCUUAAUUAGAAUCAGGAAUCAGGACUCUUUGGCUGCUGAUUGAAGGAAGAACUGUCCUUAAAUCCAGA